rnacentral:rRNA from 1 species
AGAGUUUGAUCCUGGCUCAGAACGAACGCUGGCGGCGUGGAUAAGACAUGCAAGUCGAGCGCUGAUUACAGGGUAGCAAUAUUCUGUAGUCGGAGCGGCGCAAGGGUGCGUAACACGUGGGUAAUCUGCCAUGAAGUUUGGAAUAACUUGCUGAAAGGCGAGCUAAUACCGGAUGUGACAAUAGAGAGGCAUCUUCCGAUUGUCAAAGCUGGGGACCGUAAGGCCUGGCGCUUCAUGAUGAGCCCGCGGCCUAUCAGCUAGUUGGUGAGGUAACGGCUCACCAAGGCUAAGACGGGUAGCUGGUCUGAGAGGACGACCAGCCACACUGGAACUGAGACACGGUCCAGACACCUACGGGUGGCAGCAGUCGAGAAUUUUUCACAAUGGGCGCAAGCCUGAUGGAGCGACGCCGCGUGGGGGAUGAAUGGCUUCGGCCCGUAAACCCCUGUCAUUUGCGAACAAAUUGGUUCAAUUAACACCUGAACCAUUGAUAGUAGCGAAAGAGGAAGGGACGGCUAACUCUGUGCCAGCAGCCGCGGUAAUACAGAGGUCCCGAGCGUUGUUCGGAUUCACUGGGCGUAAAGGGUGCGUAGGUGGUGAGGUAAGUCGGAUGUGAAAUCUCCAAGCUCAACUUGGAAACUGCAUUGGAAACUACCUUGCUCGAGGGUUGGAGGGGGGACUGGAAUGCUUGGUGUAGCAGUGAAAUGCGUAGAUAUCAAGCGGAACACCAGUGGCGAAGGCGGCUCACUGGCCCGAUACUGACGCUGAGGCACGAAAGCGUGGGGAGCAAACAGGAUUAGAUACCCCCGUAGUCC